rnacentral:rRNA from 1 species
UCAGGAUGAACGCUGGCGGCGUGCUUAACACAUGCAAGUCGAACGGUGAAAGAGAGCUUGCUCUCUGGAUCAGUGGCGAACGGGUGAGUAACACGUGAGCAAUCUGCCCCUGACUCUGGGAUAAGCGUUGGAAACGACGUCUAAUACCGGAUACGAGCUGCGAAGGCAUCUUCAGCAGCUGGAAAGAACUUCGGUCAGGGAUGAGCUCGCGGCCUAUCAGCUAGUUGGUGAGGUAAUGGCUCACCAAGGCGUCGACGGGUAGCCGGCCUGAGAGGGUGACCGGCCACACUGGGACUGAGACACGGCCCAGACUCCUACGGGAGGCAGCAGUGGGGAAUAUUGCACAAUGGGCGCAAGCCUGAUGCAGCAACGCCGCGUGAGGGACGACGGCCUUCGGGUUGUAAACCUCUUUUAGCAGGGAAGAAGCGAAAGUGACGGUACCUGCAGAAAAAGCACCGGCUAACUACGUGCCAGCAGCCGCGGUAAUACGUAGGGUGCAAGCGUUAUCCGGAAUUAUUGGGCGUAAAGAGCUCGUAGGCGGUUUGUCGCGUCUGCUGUGAAAACCCGAGGCUCAACCUCGGGCCUGCAGUGGGUACGGGCAGACUAGAGUGCGGUAGGGGAGAUUGGAAUUCCUGGUGUAGCGGUGGAAUGCGCAGAUAUCAGGAGGAACACCGAUGGCGAAGGCAGAUCUCUGGGCCGUAACUGAC